UACGGGAGGCAGCAGUGGGGAAUAUUGCACAAUGGGCGCAAGCCUGAUGCAGCCAUGCCGCGUGUAUGAAAAAGGCCUUCGAGUUGUAAAGUACUUUCAGUCGUGAGGAAGGUGUUAAGGUUAAUAACCUUAGCAAUUGACGUUAGCGACAGAAGAAGCACCGGCUAACUCCGUGCCAGCAGCCGCGGUAAUACGGAGGGUGCGAGCGUUAAUCGGAAUUACUGGGCGUAAAGGGCACGCAGGCGGUUAAUUAAGUUGGAUGUGAAAUCCCCGGGCUUAACCUGGGAAUGGCAUUCAAGACUGGUUAGCUAGAGUCUUGUAGAGGGGGUAGAAUUCCAUGUGUAGCGGUGAAAUGCGUAGAGAUGUGGAGGAAUACCGGGUGGCGAAGGCGGCCCCUGGGACAAAGACUGACGCUCAUGUGCGAAAGCGUGGGGAGCAAACAGGGAUUAGAUACC
rnacentral:rRNA from 1 species